rnacentral:rRNA from 1 species
AUUGAACGCUGGCGGUAGGCCUAACACAUGCAAGUCGAACGAGUGGCGGACUGGUGAGGCAUACAUCGGAAUCUACCUUGUCGUGGGGGAUAACGUAGGGAAACUUACGCUAAUACCUCAUACGAUUCGAUGAGCCCAUGUCGGAUUAGCUAGUUGGUGGGGUAAAGGCCCACCAAGGCGACGAUCCGUAGCUGGUCUGAGAGGAUGAUCAGCCACACUGGAACUGAGACACGGUCCAGACUCCUACGGGAGGCAGCAGUGGGGAAUAUUGCACAAUGGGCGAAAGCCUGAGCCAGCCAUGCCGCGUGUGUGAAGAAGGUCGUCGGAUUGUAAAGCACUUUAAGUUGGGAGGCGUUACCAACAGAAUAAGCACCGGCUAACUUCGUGCCAGCCGCCGCGGUAAUAC